GGGGUGAUGCUGGGCUUGGUGGGAUGCAGGAUGCAGUCAACACCUCCCCAACCCUGCUGCGGGGCUGGUGAUGGAGCAGGGGAUGGGUUUGGGGGUGCUGCUGCCCCAGUGAGGGGCACACGGGGAUGCCCAUUAUGGCCAGGCCGGGCUCUUUGGGUACCCAAUCCUCACCCCAUGCUCAGCCCCACAUCUCCCCGCAGCAAGGGCAGGAAGAAGCAGCUCCCUCCGGACGGGGUGAAGCUGGUGGAUGAGUCCCUGCUCAGACCGACGCCGCUGCGGUCGCUCAGCAAGUCCGACACGAAGCUGCACGAACUGCACCGGGUGAAGGCAGCGGAUGAGGCCCAGCGCCCGGCCAGCCUGGACUUCAGCUGCCCCACACCCAGUGCCCCCCAGCACGGCACCAGUGUCCUCCUGCACCGGGAGCUGCCGCAGAUCCCGGUCCCAGAGCCCCCGGCCCCCGAACAGACAUACUCCAACCUCCGCUUCCCCCUCGCCGGCGCCCGGCCCCCGACACCGUCUACGAGUGCGUGGCCAUAGGGGGAGAAGAGGCCUCGGGGU
rnacentral:lncRNA from 14 species